AGGACGCGCAGGAGCUGCUGGUGGAGACGCCGGCGGAGCGCGGGGUGGGCGCGGUGCAGCUCGCCGGGGAUCGCGACGGCGUCUUCGUGCUGGAGGCGCAGCGCGGCAGCGGCCUCCGCCAGGGUGACCGCCUGCUGAGCGCCCGCGUGUUCUUCGAGCGCAGUGAGGACGCGGCUCAGGUGCUGCGCAGCGCCCGGCAGUGCCGCGUUUUCCUUCUGCCUCAAACGCCGCGUGCCGCCCCCCCGCGCCCCCCCCGCGCCCACCGCCCCCGACGCCAGAGGACCCCUGGCCAAGGUGGCCCGGCUGAACCUGCUUAGCCUGACAGCUCUGCGGAAGGGACCCCCGGCGCCCCCCCCCGUGGACGUGGAGCUGGCGCUGCCCAAACUGUCCCUGCUGUCCCCCCGCGCCGUCCCCCCCCGGGACCACCGUCGGUGAC
rnacentral:lncRNA from 1 species